UACAGAGGGGGCAAGCGUUGUUCGGAAUUACUGGGCGUAAAGGGCGCGUAGGCGGCCGCCUAAGUCAGACGUGAAAUCCCUCGGCUCAACCGGGGAACUGCGUCUGAUACUGGGUGGCUUGAAUCCGGGAGAGGGAUGCGGAAUUCCAGGUGUAGCGGUGAAAUGCGCAGAUAUCAGGAGGAACACCGGUGGCGAAGGCGGGUCUCUGGGCAACAACUGACGCUGAGGAGCGAAAGCGUGGGGAGCGAACAGG
rnacentral:rRNA from 1 species